CUCAACGGGUACCAAACCUCUUCUGCGGUCUCAACAUGGAUGGACCAAACCCACUUCUACGAAGACCAAGCCACUUUUGUGGCUUCAAUACUAGAAGAUAAAGGGAUCAGUUGCUGCACACUUCUAAAUAUCCUCCGCUAACCACCCAAAAUCAUUCUGAGGCCCCCGUGACCUCAACCAAAAGAACCAAUACCCCAUAAUACCUCAUUAGAACUUGUACCAAUCCUUAAAACUCCUAAAACAACACUGGAAAUCUGAUUAAAUCAAAGAUUCAAGCCUAAGAACCUCAUGGUGAUCCAACAUAUGCUUUCGAUCAAAAACCUAACUAACACUCAUCCGAUUGACCUAAAAUUUUGCACACACGUCCCAAAUGACAUGAUGGUGCUACAACAACUUUAGAAAUUCUGUUUCGACCCUCAUAUCAAAACUCGCUAUCGGACCGAAAACUUCAAAAAUACAACCUUCGGCAUUUCAAGCCUAUAUGAGCUACGGGCUCCCAAAAUACUCUCUAAACAUGCUCCUAUCCCCGAAAUCACCCAACGGAGCUGAGGGAACUGUCGUAUUUCCAUUUUGAAGCAGUCUUCAAACUAUUUCGAUACGGACCACUUUCCAACAUUUAAGCUCUUCUUUAGGGACUAAGUGUCCCAAAA
rnacentral:lncRNA from 1 species